rnacentral:rRNA from 1 species
CACGUAGUUAGCCGUCCCUUUCUGGUUAGAUACCGUCACACGAGGAGCUUUCCACUCUCCUCGUCGUUCUUCUCUAACAACAGAGUUUUACGAUCCGAAAACCUUCUUCACUCACGCGGCGUUGCUCGGUCAGACUUUCGCCAUUGCCGAAGAUUCCCUACUGCUGCCUCCCGUAGGAGUUUGGGCCGUGUCUCAGUCCCAAUGUGGCCGAUCACCCUCUCAGGUCGGCUAUGUAUCAUCGCCUUGGUGAGCCUUUACCUCACCAACUAGCUAAUACAACGCGGGAUCAUCUUUGAGUGAUGCAAUUGCAUCUUUCAAACUUAAAACUUAUGUUUAAAGCUAUUAUGCGGUAUUAGCAUUCGUUUCAAAUGUUCGUCCCCCGCUCAAAGGCAGACUUCCCCACGCGUUACUCACCCGUUCGCUGCUCAUCCAAUCGGUACAAGUACCAAUCUUCAGCGCUCAACUUGCAUGUAUUAGGCACGCCGCAGCUUCG